ensembl:rRNA 5S_rRNA 5S ribosomal RNA
GCCGGCAGCUAGCUCUCUGCAACUCUUACAUGAUCGCCCACUGAAGUUAAGCAGGGCUGUGCCCGAUCAGUACCUGGAUAUGAGACCACAUGGGAAAACUAGGUUGCUGCUGUAA